rnacentral:rRNA from 1 species
GACGAACGCUGGCGGCGUGCUUAAUACAUGCAAGUCGAACGGAAAGGCCCUGCUUUUGUGGGGUGCUCGAGUGGCGAACGGGUGAGUAACACGUGAGUAACCUGCCCUUGACUUUGGGAUAACUUCAGGAAACUGGGGCUAAUACCGGAUAGGAGCUCCUGCUGCAUGGUGGGGGUUGGAAAGUUUCGGCGGUUGGGGAUGGACUCGCGGCUUAUCAGCUUGUUGGUGGGGUAGUGGCUUACCAAGGCUUUGACGGGUAGCCGGCCUGAGAGGGUGACCGGCCACAUUGGGACUGAGAUACGGCCCAGACUCCUACGGGAGGCAGCAGUGGGGAAUACUGCACAAUGGGCGGAAGCCUGAUGCAGCAACGCCGCGUGCGGGAUGACGGCCUUCGGGUUGUAAACCGCUUUCGCCUGUGACGAAGCGUGAGUGACGGUAAUGGGUAAAGAAGCACCGGCUAACUACGUG